GAAAAUGCUUUUUGCUACUAAAAUCUGUGAAAUGUAGGCUAAACUAACAACUGAGUGAAGAGCAGAAAUCUCACAAUCUUACAUCAUUGUAUCAAUUAGCCUAUUCCGGGCCUUCAAAGUUUCCUGCGCCAGAAAACUGUUUUUUAUGACCUUUCCACUGGAUAUAUGGGAUCAUCAGAUCAUGAGAUGUUGCUCUUUCACACCGAGGCUUGGGGAUUAUCGAGAGUUGGAACGAAGGAGGAAUUUAGCAACUAUAAUUUACAAUCGAUGUUAAAAAACAGACUUUGUUGACUUGUGUAAGGCGAAGACAAAAUGAGUGGUGUACAUGGUGAGUUAAGACGGUCACAAAUAAGACAUUGCCAAAUGGGCACUUUCCAACAUAUGCAUGAUUUCUGGAGCUGUACCAUAUCUGCGCCACAUCCCUCUCCCCUUCUUCUUAAUACAGCAUUUUAAAUAUAUCAAUACACACAUUAGCUUCACACAUAUUGUAGAAGCUUUUCACUGACAGCCGCAACUCAGUCAUCUAGACCUACUGCUACUCGCACUACCCAAAUUACGGACUUCCCAAACACACUUGUGAUUCGAAACCAUCCACAGCUAUUUUUUGUAAAAAUAAGCUAAUGAUUCUCUGUGGCUAAGUCAUGCUCUCUAAUGAAGUGUUUUGAAUUAUUUUAUUUAGAAAUGAGUUAUAUAAUUUUGGCAACACAUCUAUUUACUUUACUUUAACGUCCUAACAGUGCACUGCGCAUCCGCCAACUUUCCUUUUCAACUCGCAAGAGGCUGAAACCAGAGAUCUGUAUAUGACGAGGAUAUGCUCAUGUCUCCGCCCUGACAACGGGCUUGGGUCUGCAUAUUAUUCACAUAGAAACGCAUUGGGUUUAUACUGGACAGAUUUUGGCGAGAGUGAGCCCUAUCGCUUCGCCUCUUCCUCUCUGUUGAAACUAUAUCACCGGAGAAAGCAUCGAGCGAGCGAAACUGUAGGGGCAGAAAUAGUAUGAGAUGCCAUACAUACUCUUUUGUUCCAGACAGGAUCAGAUACAUGGUCUUCACAUACCGAUACAAGAGUGGCGCUGUUUCGUUCGCUCGGGUGCUUUAACUGAGAUUGAUGUCUCUGUCUCUAUCAAUAUUCAAUAUUUUAGUUGGAAAGGCAAGGAGGUACGGUAGGGCAGGCCAGGCCCCCCAAGACCCGCACAUAACGCCUGCCCUGGAAUAAAAUACCAUCAAACUUAAUUUAAAAGCUGUCUCAAAUAGCCGCAUGUCCCUUUUAUUAUGCGGGAAUCGACACUGUUCUGUGAUCAGCAGACAUUUCAGCAAAUAAACUCCUGUGUCUUUAUACCUCAGUAAAAUAGAAAUAAAUUGUAUUUUUUUGUAGUUACUAACUCCGACAUGGUAUGUUUGUAGGUACUAACUCCGCCAGGAUUCUUUGGAAAAAGCCUAUGGGGACAAAGCCUAUGGAGAAAUUAUGAGUUUAUGGAUAAACCCCGAAAAUAAGAUCUGUGUUAAACACGGGUUUAGGAUAUCUUAUACACUUUAGUCUAUGAGAUAAUCUUAAUCAUCUAACGUCACUUUUUGUAAAUUGUGAAGCAUUUAUAUAAUAGAAAAUGUACAUAACGCACAUAAAGGCUUCAUAAUUCACAAAGGUCAUGUUAACUGACUGAUAUUAUCUCAUAGAGCAAAAGGUAUAAGAUCUCCAAAGCCUAUGGGCGACUGCAUUUCCUGAUUUGUUCUCGUUUUAGAUUUGGUUCAUUAAGAAAUGCUUCCAGCCAUGACUGAAUUCAAAAGUGAGUUGGUUUCGGGGUGUGGUUUGAUGUGGGUGUCUCUUGUGUGUUCGCAGGUAGGGAGAGACACAUUUUUUAGCCAAUAAGCUUCAUGCUGGUGUGCAACAAUGUCAAAAUUGGUUUGACUUUAGAUAGGGACCUCAAUAAAUUACACAAUGUAAAUGGGACAAUAUUUUCAUGUUGCACAUCUUUAGUUGUCUCAUUAAUGCUUUAAAUAUUUGUAUAUGCAUUUCUACAAUUUAUAGUUGGUUUGAGGAUUUUAAGUAAUUGACAUUUGGAGCAAUUGGACCUUUUAAAAUAUUAUCUCAUACAUUGUGUAAUUUACUGAUUGGCCCUAACUAGCCUCAUAAGGAUAUCGAAUGUGAAACCAAAUUGACCAUGGGCAUUAAGAUCAGGUCUCAAUGAAAAUUGUUAUGGUACCCUUCAAUCCGUGACAUUUUUUUUCCUAUCACAAAUCUCAGUUUUCGUCGAGACUGACAACAACAUUUGUCUAUUUACACCGUGUUGUCCAUUUUGACACUAGAAUAAAUGUUUUUGACUCAUAUCGACGCAACAUAGGCCAUUUUCAAAAUGAGAAGUUGCUUUUUAGGGGUAGUCCACAAUGCUAUAUCAACUGAUUUUUAAAAACCUUUUUUUGUCAAAUUAACAUUUUAUUGUCAUUUAUGUUUAAUUUAUAUAACAACAUUCCGACCUUUGUUUAGCAUUAUCUAGUCCAAAUAUGGUAUGAUUCCACGAUUUAUAUCCGUUUGAUUUUCUUUCAAUGUGGGACUUUUAUUUUGAAGGCGAACCGCAAAUUAAAUAAUUUUGGCUAAUCCUUUUUUUGUUGCUAGCUUCACACAGGUCUCUUCCGUCUUGUUUUGCAUUGCGAGUGAACCCCAGUGGGCGCAUUCAAGCGGAUCACUUUUAGGAAAAGGCUUAGCUAAAAUGCUACAGUUGUCAACAAUGUUAUCCCCAACGCAAAAACUAGAUGGAGCUGAACUUGGUAGCCACUACCUUACAAACAAUCAGUCUCGACAAACCAUCAGCAGGGAGAGGCUAUACGGACACGCCUGGUGCUGUAGAGGACUGCUAAUUCCUAUGUAGGUGACAUUACAUUACUGCUAAUUCCUAUGUAGGUGACAUUACACUACUAUAGCUGAGACACAUAGUAAAACAGGUUGGGCCCCAUACAGGAUAUCUCUCACACACACACACACUCACUGUAAUCAUCCAGAACACUGUCACAACAGGAUACUCCUAGCCACAGGUGCUAGCCGGCAGUUCGGCCACAACUCCCCUGAAGAUAGGGACGCAUACGCUCUUACACACUGACCCCAGAAGACAGGGACGACGCACAUACAGUACACACAUAGCUGCCGAGGACACCCAGAUAAGACACCCACAGAUUGGCAGAAAGCCUAGACUUAGAGACAAACUAACACACACACAUAAUCUCCCUCCCAGCCGAACAUUGUGUGACUGAAGAUAGCGCACACACCAGAUCUCAUUUUCAGCUGAACAGGGUGUGACGACCAAGAACAGGCAUGGCAGGAUUCUACGAUGACGGACAGACAACAGAGCCAAUGCCGGAUGACUACACCCCAGCCUGAUCCAAUCCGAAGAUCCGAUCUCCUAGAUAUCAACCUACUUUCUGUUCUGUAUAUGAAGCUUGUACCCAUUGUUAGCUAGUGUCUUUUUUGCUAGUCUCUGAUGAGCUAACAGAGGGGCCCGUAUAUACGCUGUACCAGAUAUCUCCACUUUGAAAUAAACCUGUCGCUUGUCGUACAAUCUACCACCUUGUCUGCAUCGAUCCUUGACCGACUCACCCUUUAUCAUAUCCCAUUAUCAACAGAAAUGGUAGCAGAGGAUGGUUUAAUAACGAUCCAUCAAAGUGAGUUGAUUUGGGUGUGAGAGGGAGAGAGAGUGAAAGGACGAUUCACAGAGGACAGAGGUGAAGGAAUUCGGGGGAGGACAACAAUUCUGCUCAACUCGGUAAACUGAUCACAAGGCGCACCACAAACAAGGAUUUUAUGCAUUACAGGUGAACUACAGGUGAAGUCACUCAAUCCAGUCCCAGAGGCUUGGGGACCAUAGAUGACCCCUGGUGACAGCUAGCUGAAAGAGCUACCCAGAUUCAUAUCGCACGGCGGAAGGGUAAGACACAUUUUUUCACUGUCGGACAUUAAAACAGUGUUCGAGAGAAGAACUGGAAUUAACAGAAUUCCGGGGGCCAACUCUCGAAUGAAGUAACCCUACCUGUCCUAUCACCCCUGUUUUUGUUCAUAGAAGUGAGGAUGUGUCUGGCUCUGGCUAAGUGAUGUGUAUUUUGUUCCAAAAUGAGCAUAAGAGAUCCCUAGAUCGGGGUAGACAAGAAGUUAGAGUAGAGAUUACAUGAUAACCGACUUCGGACAGUUCUAGGAUUGGAGAAGAGGGUAUCCUUAUAGCAAGGGGGAUCCCACAAGGGUGGAUAGGUUUUCCAUGAUAUGGGGAAACCUGGGAGCAAUGUUGAACUUUGUAAAGGUGAUGAAAUCCUACUAACCAUCAAAACUAUUAAGCUCUCUGAUGCAGGCACUCACACCCUCGGACUACAAAGGACGAGGACAGACAUGAUGGGUGUGUUUUCUAUUAAGGUACUGCCAAGACCGGAGGUAACCGGACACACUCCUCUACCACCACUGUGUUAAAAAUACCAUUCAGGUAAUUAAUGUUAGAGACUAUUCGGCUAUUGAUCAAUUAGGAACUGAGACUGGUUUUGAUAGUAGGGACAAUUUGUGGCUGUCUUAUAUGAGGUACACAGCUAAAACCCUGAGAGGAAAGGACUGCAUUAUUUGUAGUCAUGCUAGACCUGUUCUGGCUACACACCCAUUUGCUGUAGGAGAAGGAGAGGGGUGGUUGUGUGUUCUGAGAAGUUUUUACCAGGUUAAGCCCAAUUCAACCCUCUGUUCCUCUUUGAGCCUUGUGUUUCCUGCAGUACCUCCUCAUCGGGCCUCUUGGGGUGUUGAGGCAUAUGGGGGCAAUUAAGAGUGCAUCACGGGUACAGGUAAUGGCAUUGAUUAUGGGGAUUGCCUGAAGCUGAUUGCAGUAGUAACAUAACCAUUAAUUCCACUUGGCCAGUUACAGGCUGAUGUGAGGUGGAUGAGUGGAGCCAAGAGUGCUGAGACCCAUUCUUAGAGGAGAAUGGCAAGGUACGUGUGCUCUGACCAGUUUGAUAAUUCCACUGACCAUUGUUGAUGUUACUGCUGAACAGCUGUUGGGUUCUGUAUCCAAGGGACCUGAAAACAUUCCAUCCCAUGGGAGACAUAGACGUAGCGCUCAGAGAAUGUAGUUGACAUAAACACUAACCUGUUGGGUGUGCCAGUGGGGGUUCCUCAUGAGUUUCAGGCCUUGGGUAGGAAUGAUGGACUCUGGCACUUACUACCUACUAUGGGUCCAGCCAUGGUGGAUGCUAGACAUACUGCAUGGAUUAAUUAUAUCUACUAUAAUCAACAGCGGUUUGUGAAUUACUCCCGUGAUGCACUCACUGGUAUGUCUGAACAGCUUGAGGCCACAUUUGGGGUUUCCAGACAGAAUAGACUUGCCUUGGAUAUGCUUCUUGCCAGUCAGGGGACGUUUGCAAGAUGUUCGGUAAACAAUGUUGCACGUAUAUUCCUAAUAAUACCAGUCCAGAUGAUAUCUAGGGCGGGCUUGAUGCACUAUCUGAUAAGAUGAGGUCCACGGGGGGGUGGAGGAGUCUGUUCUCUUGGCCUGGUUUGGUAAGUACACUGAUAUGAUGGUUACUGGAUUUCUGACCCUAAUUCUUGUAUUAUUUGUUAUUGAUGUGAUGUGCUGCUUGCAUCAUACCGUGUUCUAAGAAAUAUGUUACAGAUAUGGUGAAGGCUUCAGGCAUGUUGCCUUUGCUUGAUGCUCCAGUUGGAGAUGCCGAUACGGAAGCAUGCUUUCAGGAGAGGAUGGGACUGACUGAGGAUGACCCAUGGUAUGCUGUGGGUGAGGUAGUAGAAUAAUUUUACACCACCACAGUUCCUUGUUAUAAAUUUUUAUGAUAGGUUCUUUCCAGUAUGUUUGUUCUCCCUGUUGUAAAGGUUUAGAGUCCCUGGGUGGCAAGGAGCCCACCUGAUACAGGAUAGAAGUAGCUGAGAGGACCAGAUGGUUUCUAAUAAUUCUUUCCUCUGUUUUCCAUGACCAAAGUUUUAUCCUACAUCUUACAUGUCAAUAACAAUAAAGUUUUAUCCUGUUUUUGAUAAGUGACACCCUUGUGGGUGUCAAAAGGGGGAAACGCAUAUAACAAUAGACAUAUAUCACUUGUUAUUAAUAAUAAACUUUUUAUUAUUUUCAUGAAAUGCUAUGACUGCUGAAAUAAAGGAUAAUGAGUGUCAAAAGGGGGACUUAAAUUUCACACCUUUGGGGUUAUUUUACAUUAUAGCCAUUACCAUAUAUAUUAUCUGCUGUUGCCUUGGGUGGAUGUGUGUAUGUGUUAUGUUCUCUAGCUGAUUUGAAACAUUGUUGAAAGUAUCAGGGCCAUGGAACUUUCUCAUGCUGGGAAAAUACAGAAGGGAGGGCACAUUCAGAGCGUGGGGUUGCGAGAACAAGCAGUCUUUUGUUAGAUAACAGGAGCCAGGUGCGAGAUAACGGUAUGGAGCAUGAGACCCAUCUUUUAGUUUUUGCAGCCAUUUUAGUGUUGUGCGGCUGCGGUUGCAUUCCAUGUAUCCGGUCCCUUACUGCUAGAGUUAUCUCCAGAGCUAUUGACCCUUCUUCCCCUUCCCAGAUGUAUCCUCUGCUUGCUAAUGACCUGCCAGAGUUUGAGGAUGAGGUGGAGAAUACCCUUUAGAGAGUGUCACAUAUCUUUGGAGAUGUGAAGAGAGGGUAUCACAACUUUUUCCGGCUGGAAAUAGUUGGCCUAUGUAGAAUAUCAUUUUUACUUUCAUUUAGAGCUGUUGUUCUCCGCUCUGUUAAAUGAGGGUUGUAAGUUCCUAGGUGGCUGGUAGCCAACUUAGUACAUAGUGGGAUUGAGAGGAGAACAUGGUGGUAAUACAUAUACAUCCAUUUCUUUUUAAUGUUGUGCCUUUUUCAUAGCCCCUUUGGGAAAAGUUUUCUUUUGUAUCAGAAUCUAGUUAGGUUGUGUCACGUCUCUGGGGAGACGUGAAGAGAGGGAUUUGUAGAGGACUGCUAAUUCCUAUGUAGGUGACAUUACAUUACUGCUAAUUCCUAUGUAGGUGACAUUACACUACUAUAGCUGAGACACAUAGUAAAACAGGUUGGGCCCCAUACAGGAUAUCUCUCUCACACACACACACACACUCACUGUAAUCAUCCAGAACACUGUCACAACAGGAUACUCCUAGCCACAGGUGCUAGCCGGCAGUUCGGCCACAACUCCCCUGAAGAUAGGGACGCAUACGCUCUUACACACUGACCCCAGAAGACAGGGACGACGCACAUACAGUACACACAUAGCUGCCGAGGACACCCAGAUAAGACACCCACAGAUUGGCAGAAAGCCUAGACUUAGAGACAAACUAACACACACACAUAAUCUCCCUCCCAGCCGAACAUUGUGUGACUGAAGAUAGCGCACACACCAGAUCUCAUUUUCAGCUGAACAGGGUGUGACGACCAAGAACAGGCAUGGCAGGAUUCUACGAUGACGGACAGACAACAGAGCCAAUGCCGGAUGACUACACCCCAGCCUGAUCCAAUCCGAAGAUCCGAUCUCCUAGAUAUCAACCUACUUUCUGUUCUGUAUAUGAAGCUUGUACCCAUUGUUAGCUAGUGUCUUUUUUGCUAGUCUCUGAUGAGCUAACAGAGGGGCCCGUAUAUACGCUGUACCAGAUAUCUCCACUUUGAAAUAAACCUGUCGCUUGUCGUACAAUCUAC